GAUGAACGCUGGCGGCGUGCCUAAUACAUGCAAGUCGAGCGAACGGACGAGAAGCUUGCUUCUCUGAUGUUAGCGGCGGACGGGUGAGUAACACGUGGAUAACCUACCUAUAAGACUGGGAUAACUUCGGGAAACCGGAGCUAAUACCGGAUGAUAUUUUGAACCGCAUGGUUCAAAAGUGAAAGACGGUCUUGCUGUCACUUAUAGAUGGAUCCGCGCUGCAUUAGCUAGUUGGUAAGGUAACGGCUUACCAAGGCAACGAUGCAUAGCCGACCUGAGAGGGUGAUCGGCCACACUGGAACUGAGACACGGUCCAGACUCCUACGGGAGGCAGCAGUAGGGAAUCUUCCGCAAUGGGCGAAAGCCUGACGGAGCAACGCCGCGUGAGUGAUGAAGGUCUUCGGAUCGUAAAACUCUGUUAUUAGGGAAGAACAUAUGUGUAAGUAACUGUGCACAUCUUGACGGUACCUAAUCAGAAAGCCACGGCUAACUACGUGCCAGCAGCCGCGGUAAUACGUAGGUGGCAAGCGUUAUCCGGAAUUAUUGGGCGUAAAGCGCGCGUAGGCGGUUUUUUAAGUCUGAUGUGAAAGCCCACGGCUCACCCGUGGAGGGUCAUUGGAAACUGGAAAACUUGAGUGCAGAAGAGGAAAGUGGAAUUCCAUGUGUAGCGGUGAAAUGCGCAGAGAUAUGGAGGAACACCAGUGGCGAAGGCGACUUUCUGGUCUGUAACUGACGCUGAUGUGCGAAAGCGUGGGGAUCAAACAGGAUUAGAUACCCUGGUAGUCCACGCCGUAAACGAUGAGUGCUAAGUGUUAGGGGGUUUCCGCCCCUUAGUGCUGCAGCUAACGCAUUAAGCACUCCGCCUGGGGAGUACGACCGCAAGGUUGAAACUCAAAGGAAUUGACGGGGACCCGCACAAGCGGUGGAGCAUGUGGUUUAAUUCGAAGCAACGCGAAGAACCUUACCAAAUCUUGACAUCCUUUGACAACUCUAGAGAUAGAGCCUUCCCCUUCGGGGGACAAAGUGACAGGUGGUGCAUGGUUGUCGUCAGCUCGUGUCGUGAGAUGUUGGGUUAAGUCCCGCAACGAGCGCAACCCUUAAGCUUAGUUGCCAUCAUUAAGUUGGGCACUCUAAGUUGACUGCCGGUGACAAACCGGAGGAAGGUGGGGAUGACGUCAAAUCAUCAUGCCCCUUAUGAUUUGGGCUACACACGUGCUACAAUGGACAAUACAAAGGGCAGCGAAACCGCGAGGUCAAGCAAAUCCCAUAAAGUUGUUCUCAGUUCGGAUUGUAGUCCUGCAACUCGACUACAUGAAGCUGGAAUCGCUAGUAAUCGUAGAUCAGCAUGCUACGGUGAAUACGUUCCCGGGUCU
rnacentral:rRNA from 1 species